rnacentral:misc_RNA from 1 species
UUGACCUACUGCCCAUCACUCGCUUAUCCACCAAAAUUAGAGCCGACUGAUGAAUAUAUACGUAAACCAAUUUACUCUGUUUUAAAUAUCAUCGAGGGCAUUAUUUAUAACAGUAAUAACAACAUUUAAAAUACUGCUAAAUUGUCUAAUUUACCCAUUAUUUCAGAAGAAAUCCAUCUUGACAACAAACGCUAAUUUUUCCGCAUGAGGUCACACCUGUUUUUUUUCUAACCUUUAGGUAGCAGGGUACACUUAGAUGCGAAAAUUUUGGGCACGGACGGUCUUACAUGUAGCGAGUCACAAUAUUGCACUUCCCUUAUGAGCACAAUUGAAAAUUACAAAUUCCACAAAUUAUGAAUAAAUGCAAACUGACUGCACCCAGUAAGGCGCUUAUUUUACCUUGUCCUUGCAGGUUGACCUAGGUAGGUGUAACUUGACACACAUUAUCUGUUUACCUCAUAUCAUAUUCCAAUAUAUGCAUAGUUAGCUUUUUUUUUUUUAAACUUUAGCUAAAACUUUCCUCAUCUGGCUGCCAAGUCCCGGAUUUAUAUAUAUAUAUAAAUAAAUGCUUAUAAUAAACUUUUUCAAAACGCAGCGCAAUUUUAAUUUGGUGUGGGAUUGUUUUGAUCACUUUAUGCGUUGGUUAACAUGAAGGUGUUUUGGCAGUUCGUUCCUUGUCUGAUUGUCCUUCAGUCAGCCGAGUCUGUUCCGCCGGGAGAAGACAAAGUAAAAGCGGCUUUUCUAAAAGCCGAAGAGACCACUCAACAACAGAUAGAGACAAGUCAUCUUCAAG